AUUGAACGCUGGCGGCAUGCCUUACACAUGCAAGUCGAACGGCAGCGGGGGUAGCUUGCUACCUGCCGGCGAGUGGCGAACGGGUGAGUAAUACAUCGGAACGUGCCCUGUAGUGGGGGAUAACUAGUCGAAAGACUAGCUAAUACCGCAUACGACCUGAGGGUGAAAGUGGGGGACCGCAAGGCCUCAUGCUAUAGGAGCGGCCGAUGUCUGAUGUAGCUAGUUGGUGGGGUAAAGGCCCACCAAGGCGACGAACAGUAGCUGGUCUGAGAGGACGAUCAGCCACACUGGGACUGGAACACGGCCCAGACUCCUACGGGAGGCAGCAGUGGGGAAUUUUGGACAAUGGGGGCAACCCUGAUCCAGCAAUGCCGCGUGUGUGAAGAAGGCCUUCGGGUUGUAAAGCACUUUUGUCCGGAAAGAAAUCGCACUGGUUAAUACCUGGUGUGGAUGACGGUACCGGAAGAAUAAGGACCGGCUAACUACGUGCCAGCCGCCGCCGUAA
rnacentral:rRNA from 1 species